GACGUAGGGCGCGAGCGUUGUCCGGAUUUAUUGGGCGUAAAGAGCUCGUAGGCGGCUUGUCGCGUCGACUGUGAAAACCCGAGGCUCAACUUCGGGCUUGCAGUCGAUACGGGCAGGCUAGAGUUCGGUAGGGGAGACUGGAAUCCUGGUGUAGCGGUGAAAUGCGCAGAUAUCAGGAGGAACACCGGUGGCGAAGGCGGGUCUCUGGGCCGAUACUGACGCUGAGGAGCGAAAGCGUGGGGAGCGAACAGG
rnacentral:rRNA from 1 species